UACGUAGGGUGCAAGCGUUGUCCGGAAUUAUUGGGCGUAAAGAGCCUCGUGAGGCGGUCUGUCGCGUCGAAUGUGAAAACCCGGGGCUCAACCCCGGGCCUGCAUUCGAUACGGGCAGACUAGAGUUCGGUAGGGGAGUCUGGAAUUCCUGGUGUAGCGGUGAAAUGCGCAGAUAUCAGGAGGAACACCGGUGGCGAAGGCGGGACUCUGGGCCGAUACUGACGCUGAGGAGCGAAAGCGUGGGGAGCGAACAGG
rnacentral:rRNA from 1 species